AACUCCCAAGUUCACAGGUAGCGCCACCCACCACCCCAUUUCAAAGUCGUUGCUCAUAGUAUCCAUCCACCAGUCUUGUUCCCUUGUUUACAUGUGCUGUCGGUCGUACGAGUUGCUACGAUGUGUUUGUUUGAUCGUGUUUUUGCGUUUGGUGUAAUGAAUUGUGACUUAGUUCGCGUGCACAAAAGUGCCAGAAGAUAGCUUGUGUCUCGCUGCAAACUCGCGGUAUGCGUGGUGCGCCAGGCAAACGUGGACCAACGAUUUUCAUGCCAUGGAGUGCGUUCCCUUUGUCCGUGGUGGUUGUGGAGAGUUCGGUGGACGCCGCAAAGAAAUGAUGCGCAUUAUUAGCGUUCCGCAGGUCGUCCACUACGCAACUGCACGUAUGCGGGAAUAACUUUGCAGCUCCGGCAACUUGGAGGGCGCUUUUCGACCGCAUCGUACCAUUUAAAAGUGGCAAGGCCGUGACCAACAACAGUGUCCACGUCAGGGAGGAGCUAUGGCUGCAGCAGCACUGUGUGUAAUCGGAUGGUCUGGUCAGGUAUGACUGAAGUGUACAGAUUGGUGUGGG